rnacentral:rRNA from 1 species
UACGAAGGGUGCAAGCGUUGCUCGGAAUUAUUGGGCGUAAAGGGUAGGUAGGUGGUAAUACAAGUCUGGGGUGAAAUCCCUGAGCUCAACUCAGGACGUGCCCUUGGAAACUGUAUUACUAGAGUGCUGGAGAGGUCCGCAGGAAUUCCCGGUGUAGCGGUGAAAUGCGUAGAGAUCGGGAGGAAUACCAGAGGCGAAGGCGGCGGACUGGACAGUCGACUGACACUCAACUACGAAAGCGUGGGUAGCAAACAGGG